UAGUUUCUCUUCUUGAGAAACAAGAAAUGUUUCUCUAGUGGCAAAUGUGUAAUAAAAACGCCUAGGGAAUUGUAAACAAAUGGUUUUUAAAGCUGAAUAAAUGCUUACUAUGAGUUCCAUUGAGGCAAGUCACGUGGACUAUUGCAGACGACGUUAGAUGGUAACGUUAGCGGCGUUCCAUUGCAACCUUGUCUUCACCUCCACCUCCACCAACACAAAGACCUCCAUCGACAACAAAAACCUCCACCAUCACCUUCCUCUUUCGUCCCCACCGACACCAUCAUCUUCCUCUUUCGUCUACACCGGGGACAACCACCAUUAUAGGCAGCAAAAAUAGGCGGAUUCGCCGCCAAAAUAAAACGAAAAACCUAAUAAGAAAGGUAAAAUAAUUUAUGGCAUGAUCAACCCCAAAAGGUAAGGGUGACCUUCCCCAUUGAAGCUAUCAUCGAGCUUGAAUUCCUCCAUUGAAGCUGUCAUCAAGUUUGAAUUCCUCCUUUUAGACUCAAUUUCCUCCAUUGAAGCUUAUUCCUACUUCUAGCCAUCCUUUUAAUUGAUCGACACCUCGAAUUGGUCUCCUACUUUCGAUGAUUUAUCGUCGGAGGUGGGAACUAUAUUCUGGGCAGUACUCACGACAGAGGUAAAUUGCAAAAGGGGGUAAGUUGAACAAGGGGGUAACAUUAGGUUCACUUUGUUAACAGAUAAUUCCAAAUUUACCCUCAUGACACUAGUAGAAAAAUGGUAAUUGGCACCGAGUUUUGGCCAUCGGUUCUUAAGAACUGGUGGGAAAAAUGGGAGGGAUUUUAAGAGAAGAGUAUUGCCACUAGUUCAAACCGAACCGGUGGGGAAAAUGUUAAUCCCACCGGUUUUGAACUAGUGGCAAAAGUUAAAAAAAAAAAAACCGGUUCAUCUCUCAGCUUUAUAACCCUAAAGUCCCUAACUUGCUUCUCUCUCCGCCUCCUUCAUUCCUUAUUUCCUCUGAUCUCCCUCUCUCUCCUCUCCCUUCUCUCUCCUCUCCCUUCUCUUUCCCUUCGAUCUCCUCUCUUCGAUCUCAUCUCUCUCUCUCUUCGAUCUUUUUUCAUCUCCCCUUAGAUCUUUUUUCAUCUCCGCAACAACAGCAACACCACUGUCGCAAAGACGCCACCACCACCACAUCAUCACACCAUAAAUUUCGACCGGCACCGCAAAGCCCACCGACAUCAACAUCAACAACAAUUUCUAGUUCGUGAGUCAUCUUCGUCGAAUUCAGGGUCGGAGGAGAAAAUUGAUGGCGGAUACUGCUUCUGCAAUUCAGCUACUGAGCUCAUGCUGUUCUGCUUCUCGUCGAAUCCAUUUAUUUUGUUUGUUUUGUUUUUGGCAAGUGUAAAAUUAUUGAUUAUGAAUUUCAAUUAUAUUAUGUAUUAAUGUAUUAUGUAUAUAUAUAACAUUUUGGUGAUUAUGAAUUUCAAUUAUAUUUGGUGUAGCA